rnacentral:rRNA from 1 species
UCCGCUUUUACGUAUGAGCCCUACUGUUAGAUGAGCUAGUUGGUAAGGUAAUGGCUUACCAAGGCAAUGAUCUAUAGCUGGUCUGAGAGGGACGAUCAGCCACACUGGAACUGAGAUACGGUCCAGACUCCUACGGGAGGCAGCAGUGGGGAAUAUUGGACAAUGGGCGAAAGCCUGAUCCAGCUAUGCCGCGUGAGUGAAGAAGGCCUUCGGGUUGUAAAACUCUUUUAAUAGGGAAGAUAAUGACGGUACCUAUAGAAAAAGUCCCGGCAAACUCCGUGCCAGCAGCCGCGGUAAUACGGAGGGGGCAAGCGUUGUUCGGAAUUAUUGGGCGUAAAGGGCACGUAGGUGGACUAGUAAGUUAAAAGUGAAAUACCAAAGCUCAACUUUGGAGCUGCUUUUAAUACUGCUAGACUAGAGGUCGAGAGAGGAUAGCGGAAUUCAUAGUGGUAGAGA